rfam:Gasterosteus aculeatus cont1.002927, whole genome shotgun sequence.
UUAAAAAUGCAAUGUAAGUCGCUUUGGAUAAAAGCGUCAGCUAAAUGACGUGUA